CACUCUGAGAUAUUAUAAACUCUCCAGCUAAUUCCUACGCGCAUCACUCUCGCAUGCCUUAUUCUUAAUCCAAAAGAUAAUGUAAUGGUCUGUCAUUAUCUUCCAUUAGCAUUUUAAAAAUGAUUUCAACAGUCGCACAUUAUUCCGGUUUCCCACUUAGUUUAUUAAAACCCUCCACUCUGGUUUUAAUAUAUUUCCUUCAGCACGAUCAUCCGCUUAAACCAGCGAUUCUAACCUGUCUCCACUUAGUCAGCUACAAUACAGUUCUCUGCUUCGGAAAUAAUGGCGCACUUCACCCACUUUCUCUUUUAAUCUUUCCUUAUUCCUUCUUCCUUCUCCUUUUAAAACCGACAGAGGGAGACCGUCAGAGAGAAACCAACUGAGAUGAGAAACUCAGCUCCCAUCUUCCUCUCCUUAUCUUCUUCUUCCUUCUUCUUUUCUAUUUUGUUUCUUCUCUGUUCCUCUUGUUACUCAAAACAGAGACACGAGAGAGUGAGAUUGAAGAGAGAAAUUAUUUAGAAUCAAAGGAGAGUAGCAAACCCGAUCCUAACCCGGAUCCUAGGAAGAACCAGAAACCGUUGAAGCCCGAUCUUCCAUGAUCAACGGUUCCAGUGGACUUCCAGUGAACCAGAAGCCGAAAUCCCGCCGUCCCUGUAGCGAUUUCUGGCGGCUCCAGUGAAUUACCGGCGAAGACCCGUAAGGCACGAACCCAGAACCCCGUGCUGGAUGGCAUUUUCCGGCGAUCGGGAAGGUAUUUUCCGGCGACAAACCCGAUCACUUCAGGCCAACCCGACCCGGCAACAACCCGAUCCGUCAACCCGUGACCCGAACCCGGAAAUCCAACCCGUCAGUGACCCGACUUUCCGGUGACUUUUCCGACGAUUUUUCCGUGACCGAACUCAUCGUUUUCACUGAAUUUUCUAGUGAAAAUUCUUAUUUAAUAAAUCAAGGAACUAUACAAGGAGAGUGGAAAACUCGAUCCCGAUAUUAAUGGGAAAUCCAAGUUAUGAACAGAGAGACGUAGGUGGCCGGGAUGGGAUCUAGGAAUGCAUUAGGACAUUUCAUUUAUAUUACCCCAUAAUAUUCAGUUGUUGUAUUUUUACAAUUAAAUGACCGUUUCCGCAUUUAUUAAAAACUCUGAGAUGUUGAAACCAUUAUUAUUUUUAUUUAUUUAAAUCAGCAUAUUAGUUAAGAUAUUUGGCAGACCUUACGAAUCUUUGCAGUUUAAAGAGAAAAGUGACGAACCUAACCCAUAGCGGUUUGGGGGCGUUACAGAGAUGAUCGUGGGAGAAGGGAGAGCUAGAAAGUGAGGGAGACAGAGAAGAGAGCCAAAGAGAGAAGAAACCCAAUCCUUUUUCCCUUUAUUGUUCUUUCUUCUUUCCCUUCUUUCUUCUUCUUUUCUGUUCUUCUUUCUUCUCCUUCUGUUCUGUUCUUUUCUGAAGUCGACUGAGGCAGAGAGAUCAGAAAAGAGAGGGAGAGAUUGUGAGAGAGAGCAUUAGAGGGAGGAACCGAAACCCAUCAAACCUGAAAGAAGCCUGACCCACCGACGAGACCCAGAGGCGCGAUUCCGGCCGGUCCCAGUGACGAUUUUCGGCCAAUUUCUGAUGGGUCAACUUCGGUGGAACGUGGGACACGAUUUCCAGAAGUUCUGGCCGAAAUUCCGGCGGCUCCCAGUAGCGAUUUUCGGCGAUUCUGUCCAGAAAUUCGGCGACUUCCAGGGGCGAAUUUCCGGUGGAAUCAGAAGCUUUUCCGAGAAUAAACUAUUAUGAGAACUGCACCAAAAGGCUGUCUAUAGACAAGGAAUAAAGCUCAAGAGGUUUUAAAGCUAAGGACGCAUAGUUUGCAUUUGUUUAUAAGUUUUCUAUGUUUAUAAUGUUUUAUGUUGACAAGAUUGCUAAUAAUUACCAUGUAUUUUCUUGUGUCACUAUUGACACAUGUUUACAUGUAUUUGUUUAAACAUUUUCUUUAUGAACGUCUAGAG